AUAUUUGUUUGUUGUAUGUAUAUAUAAAACUUAAGUGUGUAUUAUCAUAUUUCAUUUUAGGUGAGGGUUAAAUUAUGUUGUAGUUAGUUUUAGUAGAAUAGUUAAGUUAUAUUAAGUAUAUUGUUUGGUUAAAUAGAUUAAAUUGUUUAUUUAUUUAGUAUUAGUAGUAUAGAAAUAAAUGUUGAUUGUAAGUACUGUAGAGGAAAUUAUUUUAGUAUCUGUUGUUUAGUAGGGAUUUGUUUUCGUACCUUUUGUAUAAUGGAUUAAUGAUUGGUGAUUGUUUUAUAAUGAUUUCUCGAAGUGAAAGGAUUUACUUAAUAGGUUGUAUGUUAACGUUGUAUAGUUAUAUAUUGAUUAUUAAGUGGUAAUGAAAUGUUUAUCGUUUUUCGUGAUAGCUAGUUUAUUGGUGUAAAAUAUUUAAGUAUUGUAAUGUUAGGUGUAGUGUUGUGCUGAUUUGACAUUAGCUUACUAUAUGGGGGAUAAGCUUCAUAUAAUUUAAUAGAAUUUGUUGUGUACUAGUUGUAAUUUAAGUAGAAUUAAUAAUGUUUUUCUUUAAAAGUAGUUUAAAUUUUUGUUGUAAAUUAGUAAAUUCAUGUUUAGGUAGCUGAUAAAUGUUUAUGAAUUGUUUUAUAGAUAUUUAUAAUGUUAAUAUGAGUAUUAGUUAUUAUUAUAUUAUGUUUAAUUAUUAUUAUAGGUGUAUAUAGUUUAUAUUAUUAGUAUAGAGUUAAGUAGGGUAAAGGAAUUCGGCAAAUAUUAAUCUCGCCUGUUUAUCAAAAACAUGUCUCUUUGUUAAUUAUAAAUAGAGAGUCGGGCCUGCUCGGUGAAUAAUCAUUUUAACAGCUGCGGUAUUUUAACUGUACUAAGGUAGCAUAAUAAUUUGCCUUAUAAUUUGAGGCUAGAAUGAAUGGUUUGACGAAGGUUAAUCUGUCUCUACUCUAUUUUUUAGAAUUUAAUUUUUAUAGUGAAAAAGCUUGUAUUUUUUAAAGGGACGAGAAGACCCUAUUGAGCUUAUAAUUUUAUUGUUGUUUUGUAAUUAUUUAUGUGAUGAUAGAUAAAUUUUAAUUGGGGUGAUUGAGGAAUAAGGUAAUAGUAGUAACUUCCUUAGAAAUAAAUGUUGUUGGGUGAAGUAACCAAUAUAUUAUUGCUUAUAAUAUAGUUACCAUAGGGAUAACAGCGUAAUUUGUUUAGAGAGUUCUUAUUGAAAAAUGAGAUUGCGACCUCGAUGUUGGAUUAAAGUAACCUUAAGGUGCAGAAGCUUUAAUAAGGUAAAUCUGUUCGAUUUUUAAAACUUUACAUGAUCUGAGUUCAGACCGGCGUGAGCCAGGUUGGUUUCUAUCUUUUAAAAAUGAUUAUUGCUUCUUUUAGUACGAAAGGACCAAAGAUAGCUAAAAGUUUGUUAAUUAUAAU
rnacentral:rRNA from 1 species